rnacentral:tRNA from 1 species
GCGCCCGUAGCUCAGUGGAUAGAGCGCUGGCCUCCGGAGCCAGAGGUCACAGGUUCGAAUCCUGUCGGGCGCA